rnacentral:rRNA from 1 species
GACGAACCGAGCGAACGUUGUUCGGAAUCACUGGGGUUAAAGGGCGCGUAGGCGGGUGCUCAAGUCCGGGGUGAAAUCCUCCAGCUCAACUGGAGAACUGCCUCGGAUACUGGGUGCCUCGAGGGUGGUAGGGGUAUGCGGAACUAUCGGUGGAGCGGUGAAAUGCGUUGAUAUCGAUAGGAACUCCGGUGGCGAAGGCGGCAUACUGGACCACUUCUGACGCUGAGGCGCGAAAGCCAGGGGAGCAAACGGG